rnacentral:rRNA from 1 species
UACGUAGGGGGCAAGCGUUGUCCGGAUUUAUUGGGCGUAAAGAGCGUGUAGGCGGUUUGGUAGGUCCGCUGUGAAAACUCGAGCUCACCUCGAGACGCCGGUGGAAACCAUCAGACUAGAGUCCGGAAGAGGAGAGUGGAAUUCCGUGGUGUAGCGGUGGAAUGACGCAGAUAUCAGGAGGAACACCGAUGCGAAGGCAGGCUCGUGGGCCGAC